rnacentral:rRNA from 1 species
GGGGAAUAUUGGACAAUGGGCGAAAGCCUGAUCCAGCCAUGCCGCGUGUGUGAAGAAGGCCUUUUGGUUGUAAAGCACUUUAAGUGGGGAGGAAAAGCUUGUGGUUAAUACCCAUAAGCCCUGACGUUACCCACAGAAUAAGCACCGGCUAACUCUGUGCCAGCAGCCGCGGUAAUACAGAGGGUGCAAGCGUUAAUCGGAAUUACUGGGCGUAAAGCGCGCGUAGGUGGUUAUUUAAGUCAGAUGUGAAAGCCCCGGGCUUAACCUGGGAACUGCAUCUAAUACUGGAUAACUAGAGUAGGUGAGAGGGGAGUAGAAUUCCAGGUGUAGCGGUGAAAUGCGUAGAGAUCUGGAGGAAUACCGAUGGCGAAGGCAGCUCCCUGGCAUCAUACUGACACUGAGGUGCGAAAGCGUGGGUAGCAAACAGGAUUAGAUACCCUGGUAGUCCACGCCGUAAACGAUGUCUACCAGUCGUUGGGUCUUUUAAAGACUUAGUGACGCAGUUAACGCAAUAAGUAGACCGCCUGGGGAGUACGGCCGCAAGGUUA